GCGCGUGAAAUACUAUACAAACCGGUCAUGUAUUCCCAGACGCUGAAUCGAGGGUACAAGCAAGGAUUUACCUGACGUGAAGUUGUUUGAACGCCUAAUGUGCCGCAGCGCGACUUCAGAGAAAUUGAGCAACUCCUCUACCUCCACAGGGUCAGUGUCGAGCUCGUAACCUCGUUGUGCUGACGACGCGUCGGAGUCGACAUACGACUCAUCGGUGGAGCUAGGGCUCGCGCCGGGCGACUGUUCAGGGGCUGGACUGGUAGCACGCGGUUGUGUCUGGGCGGCGCCUUCUGAGGUCGCGGAAACGGCUUCAGCCGCGGUGGUCACCGGGACAUCGGCGUUUGGAGGCGGAGCCGCGUUUCUUUCUUGGUGCCAUGGUGGUGAGUAGUGGUAUUGCGGCUGUGCGGUGGGGGUGAUGGUGGAAAAUGAGAGCGGGAAGGCGGGAAAGUGAUAGUCGCAGCUGCAGAUAGAG
rnacentral:lncRNA from 1 species